rnacentral:rRNA from 1 species
AGUCGAACGGCUCUUCGGAGCAGUGGCGGACGGGUGAGUAACGCGUGGGAACGUGCCCUUUGGUUCGGAACAACACAGGGAAACUUGUGCUAAUACCGGAUGUGCCCUUCGGGGGAAAGAUUUAUCGCCAUUGGAGCGGCCCGCGUUGGAUUAGGUAGUUGGUGGGGUAAAGGCCUACCAAGCCUACGAUCCAUAGCUGGUCUGAGAGGAUGAUCAGCCACACUGGGACUGAGACACGGCCCAGACUCCUACGGGAGGCAGCAGUAGGGAAUCUUGCGCAAUGGGCGAAAGCCUGACGCAGCCAUGCCGCGUGAAUGAUGAAGGUCUUAGGAUUGUAAAAUUCUUUCACCGGGGAAGAUAAUGACGGUACCCGGAGAAGAAGCCCCGGCUAACUUCGUGCCAGCAGCCGCGGUAAUACGAAGGGGGCUAGCGUUGCUCGGAAUUACUGGGCGUAAAGGGCGCGUAGGCGGACAGCUUAGUCAGAGGUAAAAGCCCAGGGCUCAACCUUGGAACUGCCUUUGAUACUGGCUGUCUUGAGUUCGGGAGAGGUGAGUGGAAUGCCGAGUGUAGAGGUGAAAUUCGUAGAUAUUCGGCGGAACACCAGUGGCGAAGGCGACUCACUGG